UGCCUUAGUAGCGGCGAGUGAGCGGCAAAGCUCAAUUUGAAAUCUGGCACUUUCAGUGUCCGAGUUGUAAUUUGAAGAAGGUAUCUUUGGGUCUGGCUCUUGUCUAUGUUUCUUGGAACAGAACGUCACAGAGGGUGAGAAUCCCGUGCGAUGAGAUGUCCCAGACCUAUGUAAAGUUCCUUCGAAGAGUCGAGUUGUUUGGGAAUGCAGCUCUAAGUGGGUGGUAAAUUCCAUCUAAAGCUAAAUAUUGGCGAGAGACCGAUAGCGAACAAGUACAGUGAUGGAAAGAUGAAAAGAACUUUGAAAAGAGAGUGAAAAAGUACGUGAAAUUGUUGAAAGGGAAGGGCUUGAGAUCAGACUUGGUAUUUUGUAUGUUACUCUCUCGGGGGUGGCCUCUACAGUUUACCGGGCCAGCAUCAGUUUGAGCGGUAGGAUAAGUGCAAAGAAAUGUGGCACUGCUUCGGUAGUGUGUUAUAGUCUUUGUCGAUACUGCCAGCUUAGACUGAGGACUGCGGCUUCGGCCUAGGAUGUUGGCAUAAUGAUCUUAAGUCGCCCGUCU
rnacentral:rRNA from 1 species